GGAGUCCAGCUCAGUUGGCAGGGUACUUGCUUUGGAUGCAGGGGGAUGUGGGUUCGAUUCCCCAGUACCA
rnacentral:tRNA from 1 species